rnacentral:rRNA from 1 species
AUUGAACGCUGGCGGCAGGCCUAACACAUGCAAGUCGAGCGAGUGGCGGACGGGAGAGAAAUGUGUGGGGAUCUGCUCGAUAGAGGGGGAUAACUACUGGAAACGGUGGCUAAUACCGCACACUCUCGGGUCAUCCCAUAUGGGAUUAGCUAGUAGGUGGGGUACAGGCUCACCGGGGCGACGAUCUCUACCUGGUCUGAGAGGAUGAUCAGCCACACUGGGACUGAGAAACGGCCCAGACUCAUACGGGAGGCAGCAGUGGGGAAUAUUGCACAAUGGGCGCAAGCCUGAUGCAGCCAUGCCGCGUGUAUGAAGAAGGCCUUAGGGUUGUAAAGUACUUUCAGCGGGGAGGCGUUACCCGCAGAAGAAGCACCGGCUAACUCCGUGCCAGCAGCCGCGGUAAUAC